AUGUGGUUGCCUGGAACAAAAUAUGAGGGCCCAUCCGGAUGCCCCGCGAGCGUGACCGGACGCGUCCAUGGGUGUUUGAGGGGCCAGCUUUGCCAAGUCCGACUGUACAUGCUCUGGGGAUGGCCUCUUCAGGGCACACGGGGCCCUCUACGUCUGCACGGACAACCUACGCAGCGGUGGAAAACAGUAUGGGUAUUGUGGCUUCGCCAACUAACAUACACAAAAUAUGACUCCCUCUCCAACUGCAAACACCUGUCUUUGGUCUUCCUGUCCAUAGCAAAUGUGACGAAGGUGAUUACGACCACCUCAUCCACUACCAGGACGCUCAUCGCCAUGACCAUGAAUAUCGGGCAUAGCCUUGAACUCCAGCGUCAUUGCCUCGUUGUCCGGUGUCGUAGACAUGAUCUCAGAUUCAACAAAGGGAGCAGCGGGGCGGAUGGACUCUUACAUCAUGUUAUUCUUGAACUGCAAAGGCAGCGUCGGUGUUGUAGGUCGGGCGCUGUAUGCAGCACCACCGUCGGUCGUGUUGAUGCUGCAAGCCGGCUGACGGUGCUGCAAGGCUGGUGUGGGGUGUUGCAGAUGGUGACAAGUAGUGCUUCAAUGGAUUGCAAUAGUGCUACAUCGAAAGCGGCGAAUGAGGAGGAUCCGGUGUCGCAAGCCUUCGUAUGGUGCUGUAAAUGGCGGCAAACGGAUGGCGGCACGUGCAAGGAGGAUAGUGGCUACGAUGGCACUGCUAUGACCGACGGCGCACAAUAUCACGAGCCAAGCACAUCCUGGAUGAUGGUGUGCACUGCAAGGCUGACAAUGAGGAUGGCGAUGCUACGACCCAAGGACGCACAAGCGACACUACUGGGAGGAGUCGACGCCGGCUUUGCUCACACUACAAUAAUCUUCUUCAAUUUCUGGGUCACCAUGGCGGUUGCGAACAUCUACCACAUCUGGGGCAUCUUCCAUGAAGUGGUCCUCGAGGAGCCGUGGAUUUACUGUGUGCCACGUGAUACAUUGGCGAAACUCCUUAUAAAGCUAAGGCCAGCUUUUGUCUCCGGUCUUAUAAGCAGAGCUGAGCAGCCAUCAGGGCAAGAAAUUCACACCAUCCUUCUGCACCCCCUACAGAGUGCACGAUUGCAGACGAACAAGCAGCGUCUCGCCUCUCGCAAGCGGCGAUCGGGGAUUGACGAAGGCCCUAGCAGUCGUGCCGGCGCCAGUGCAGUUACCUCCGAUCUAUUCCUAUUGUUGAUCGUCUUGCUGCAUGAAGACGCAACAGCCGUGGACUGUGGUUCGUUCGUCACUUCAAUCAGGACCUACGAAGUGUGUUUUAAUCUCCAAGUGCAAGUCUUCAUCAUGUCUACUAGACUUAGGAAGCAUGAAACUGGUAUUGCAAAGCGUAAGAAGAAACAAAGACUUGAAGUGGAGGCUCAAUCUCUAACAGGUUCCCUUGAUACAUAUUUGGUGAAAGACCCCCAAUAUAAUUCUGCAAAUCAAACUACAGAUGUUAAUGUUGGUGAUGCUCGUGAUGAUGAUGCAACAGAGGUUGAGGCUCAUGAUGCAUAA
rnacentral:rRNA from 1 species